UUCAGGUUUUUACGUAUAAAUUGCAUAUUUAUUGAUAAAAAGACAAAAGGUUGCUCACAUGAAAGACACAGUCCUUUUGAAUACAUGAUUUUUUUUCGAGUGUGUGUGUGUGUGUGUGUGUGUGUGUGUGUGUGUGUGUGUGUGUGUGUGUGUGUGUGUGUGUGUGUGUGUAGAUGAUUCUGGAAAGUGGGGAACUGGUGGCUUGUGUACAGCUCUGGAGCGACAUUCAGUGGAGGUGAAGAAUCAGUAUGAAAUGGCCGACGCAAGUACGACCUGGAUCUCGGGGACACGCUGCUGAUACCCAUCGAAGACAAGCAGUCGAGAGCGAGCGAAAAAAACUUUGUGACUCUGAUUGUGGCACAAAGGAGAUAUAAAAGCAACAAUCUGUCAGGGAUUAGCCUCGCUGUCCUGGAGGAGGGGCUCAAGAAGAUCUACAGAACUGCCAAGGCCAAGAAUGCAAGGUUUCACCUUCCGCAAAUUGGGGUAACCACUAAAGACUUCAACUGGUUCGGCACUGAGAGACAGAUACGCAAGCACUUAACCUUGCGAGGCUAACACUUAUCAUACCACCUUCAUGUAUCCUUCUACACGAGAAACUUCAUCACUGCAUCACUACCAGAUACACUCGAUCCACUACAGUUAGCGUACCGCCAGAGCCGCUCUACUGAGGACGCCAUUGCUCAUCUUCUCCACACCACGAUGAGCCACCUGGACUGCAGAAAAGGGAAUUAUGCAAAAAUGCUGGAACUACAGUUCAGCAUUUAACACCCUAAUUCCCUCCACGCUCACCUCUAACUUGAAGGUCCUGGGACUCAGCCUGCUGCUGUGUCAAUGGAUCUCCAACUUCCUGAGUUGUGUUGUGGUUGUGUUCUGAGCCCCCUGCUGUACUCACUGUAUAUGUAUGACUGUGUGGCCACU